UAUAACAAAAUUAUAAUAUUCAUCGUGUGCGGAUUAUUGGCGGUAAAAAUCAAUAGCGUACGUUCGUAAAUUCGCUGUCGGCGUACCAGCAGAAAAUGUUCUCGAAUAACAUAUUUACAAACGAAAACAUGACGAUCAAACGUUCGCGCGAUCAAAGUCCUCGGAUAAAUGGAAAUGUAAUAUUGUUUUAAUAUUUUAAUCAUGUAACCCAGGUAGCAAAAAUAUAU